CCCUUGUUCUUAGUUGCCAGCAUUCAGUUGGGCACUCUAAGGAGACUGCCGGUGACAAACCGGAGGAAGGUGGGGAUGACGUCAAAUCAUCAUGCCCCUUAUGACCUGGGCUACACACGUGCUACAAUGGAUAGAACAAAGGGCAGCGAAGCCGCGAGGUGAAGCCAAUCCCAUAAAUCUAUUCUCAGUUCGGAUUGCAGGCUGCAACUCGCCUGCAUGAAGCCGGAAUCGCUAGUAAUCGCGGAUCAGCAUGCCGCGGUGAAUACGUUCCCGGGCCUUGUACACACCGCCCGUCACACCACGAGAGUUUGUAACACCCGAAGUCGGUGGGGUAACCUUUUGGAGCCAGCCGCCUAAGGUGGGACAGAUGAUUGGGGUGAAGUCGUAACAAGGUAGCCGUAUCGGAAGGUGCGGCUGGAUCACCUCCUUU
rnacentral:ncRNA from 1 species